AAGUCUCAAGUGAAGUAAGGCG
rnacentral:rRNA from 1 species